rnacentral:rRNA from 1 species
CCCCGUACACAAAAAUGCACAUGCUGUGAGCUCGAUGAGUAGGGCGGGACACGUGGUAUCCUGUCUGAAUAUGGGGGGACCAUCCUCCAAGGCUAAAUACUCCUGACUGACCGAUAGUGAACCAGUACCGUGAGGGAAAGGCGAAAAGAACCCCGGCGAGGGGAGUGAAAAAGAACCUGAAACCGUGUACGUACAAGCAGUGGGAGCACGCUUCGGCGUGUGACUGCGUACCUUUUGUAUAAUGGGUCAGCGACUUAUAUUCUGUAGCAAGGUUAACCGAAUAGGGGAGCCGAAGGGAAACCGAGUCUUAACUGGGCGUUAAGUUGCAGGGUAUAGACCCGAAACCCGGUGAUCUAGCCAUGGGCAGGUUGAAGGUUGGGUAACACUAACUGGAGGACCGAACCGACUAAUGUUGAAAAAUUAGCGGAUGACUUGUGGCUGGGGGUGAAAGGCCAAUCAAACCGGGAGAUAGCUGGUUCUCCCCGAAAGCUAUUUAGGUAGCGCCUCGUGAAUUCAUCUCCGGGGGUAGAGCACUGUUUCGGCAAGGGGGUCAUCCCGACUUACCAACCCGAUGCAAACUGCGAAUACCGGAGAAUGUUAUCACGGGAGACACACGGCGGGUGCUAACGUCCGUCGUGAAGAGGGAAACAACCCAGACCGCCAGCUAAGGUCCCAAAGUCAUGGUUAAGUGGGAAACGAUGUGGGAAGGCCCAGACAGCCAGGAUGUUGGCUUAGAAGCAGCCAUCAUUUAAAGAAAGCGUAAUAGCUCACUGGUCGAGUCGGCCUGCGCGGAAGAUGUAACGGGGCUAAACCAUGCACCGAAGCUGCGGCAGCGACGCUUAUGCGUUGUUGGGUAGGGGAGCGUUCUGUAAGCCUGUGAAGGUGUGCUGUGAGGCAUGCUGGAGGUAUCAGAAGUGCGA